rnacentral:lncRNA from 1 species
CCACAUCUCUUUGGGUGGGGGACUGAGCAGACAAAACUAUUCUUUCGUGGCAUCAGCCUUACUUCAGGAGAAAGGUAAUACUGGGCUGUGCAAAUGCAGGCACAGGAGUUUGCGAAAGCACAUUUUCCCUCCCCGUGCUUCAUAUGCAGAAAUGCUAUACUAUUUACUCAUUUGGAUGAUGACUAGGAGACACAUUACCAUAAGCAUUAUGGAGAUGAAUGCCUCAAAUUUAGGAAUUCAUGUCCCAGUUGUUACUCUGAGAAAAUAGCUGUGGACAUGGAUGGAAGCUUAGCUCAACUAACAGCGUAAAAAUCAGAUCUUGGGAGCAGAUGUGAGUGAAGCCGCAGAAACAAAACAAGAGCGUGAUACAGAAGUAGCAACAAAAACAAAACAAUUUUCGACUAACGCUGCAUAGCCGUCUUUCUUUAAUGGAUUAUAUGUUUUCCUCUUCAGGCAACAGGGAUUUGAGACAUGCAAAUUCUAGCAUGAGGCUGAGUUGAGCAACUAUGCACUUGCAGGUUUCUGACAACUAGGUCUGAAAAGAGGAAAAGGAGAAAAAGAAAAAGCACCUUGCUAGUUCUUUCACAUUAGCGUGCACACGAGAACAGCUCACUGGGCUUCACCUGACUUCCUGUCUUCAUAGUCUGGAGAAUGCUGUGAGAUGCUACGGGUGUCUGCCCGUGAGGCAACUCGGAACUGGCUCCACAAGCACUGUGUUUACCAGAGAAAACAGUAAAAAUCUCUGCUCAGUUCACUGCACAUUGCACAAGCCAAAUGGCAAAGAGAUGUAUUUUUUUUUCUUUGCUCGGAAGUAAAUGGCAGUGCCAACACAUACAAAUAUGCAUCUGUUACUAAUGAGGUGUUUACAGUCCCUGCCUUGCCAAUUGCACGCGUGUAAUACCUCAGCCCAUCUUCACCUUCGGGGCUCUGGCAGGGAUGUUCUUAAGAAGUUGCCCUCUGCGAAAUUUCACUAAAUGGAAACCGUGGACCCUGCAUGAUGCGAUUAUAAUCACACCAGCCAUUCUUUUUACAUAAUUUUUUGUUUAAAAUCCAGUAAUGCUUCUUGUUUUUAAAACAUAUAUCUAUAUCUCUACGUGCAUCUAAACCGGCGCUGGUUUACGUCCCCUCAGCAAAGCGCAAGCUGGAGCUAUAACUGGCUGUAUCCCAUCCACAAAUCUCAAUGGACUCAAAAACAAUAUGAA